GUGGGGAAUCUUGCGCAAUGGGCGAAAGCCUGACGCAGCCAUGUCGCGUGAAUGAUGAAGGUCUUAGGAUUGUAAAAUUCUUUCACCGGGGACGAUAAUGACGGUACCCGGAGAAGAAGCUCCGGCUAACUUCGUGCCAGCAGCCGCGGUAAUACGAAGGGGGCUAGCGUUGCUCGGAAUUACUGGGCGUAAAGGGCGCGUAGGCGGACAGCUUAGUCAGAGGUGAAAGCCCAGGGGUCAACCUGGGAAUUGCCUUUGAUACUGGCUGUCUUGAGUUUGGGAGAGGUGAGUGGGACUCCGAGUGUAGAGGUGAAAUUCGUAGAUAUUCGGAAGAACACCAGUGGCGAAGGCGACUCACUGGCCCAAUACUGACGCUGAGGCGCGAAAGCGUGGGGAGCAAACAGGAUUAGAAACCCUGGUAGUCC
rnacentral:rRNA from 1 species